rnacentral:rRNA from 1 species
UACGAAGGGGGCUAGCGUUGCUCGGAAUCACUGGGCGUAAAGGGUGCGUAGGCGGGUUCUUAAGUCAGAGGUGAAAUCCUGGAGCUCAACUCCAGAACUGCCUUUGAUACUGAGAGUCUUGAGUUCGGGAGAGGUGAGUGGAACUGCGAGUGUAGAGGUGAAAUUCGUAGAUAUUCGCAAGAACACCAGUGGCGAAGGCGGCUCACUGGCCCGGUACUGACGCUGAGGUGCGAAAGCGUGGGGAGCAACAGGG